rnacentral:rRNA from 1 species
UCGUGUCGGGAGGGGCUCGCGGGCUAUCAGCUUGUUGGUGAGGUAACGGCUCACCAAGGCGACGACGGCUAGGGGGUCUGAGAGGACGACCCCCCACAUUGGGACUGAGACACGGCCCAG